AACGAUGAUGAAAUGAUUAAAUCUUAGGACACCUUCUGACACAGUCGCCCAAACUGUGCAUGAGAAAUGAUUUUAGUUUCUGAUGUU